rnacentral:rRNA from 1 species
GUGGGGAAUUUUGGACAAUGGGCGCAAGCCUGAUCCAGCAAUGCCGCGUGCAGGAAGAAGGCCUUCGGGUUGUAAACUGCUUUUGUACGGAACGAAACGGUCCUGGCUAAUAUCCGGGGCUAAUGACGGUACCGUAAGAAUAAGCACCGGCUAACUACGUGCCAGCAGCCGCGGUAAUACGUAGGGUGCGAGCGGUAAUCGGAAUUACUGGGCGUAAAGCGUGCGCAGGCGGUGCUGUAAGACAGGCGUGAAAUCCCCGGGCUCAACCUGGGAAUUGCGCUUGUGACUGCAGUGCUGGAGUGCGGCAGAGGGGGAUGGAAUUCCGCGUGUAGCAGUGAAAUGCGUAGAUAUGCGGAGGAACACCGAUGGCGAAGGCAAUCCCCUGGGCCUGCACUGACGCUCAUGCACGAAAGCGUGGGGAGCAAACAGGAUUAGAUACCCUUGUAGUCC